CCUACGGGUGGCAGCAGUGGGGAAUAUUGCGCAAUGGGGGCAACCCUGAUGCAGCGACGCCGCGUGAGGGAAGAAGUCUCUCGGGAUGUAAACUUCUUUCAACAGGGACGAAAAAAGUGACGGUACCUGUGUAAGAAGCCACGGCUAACUACGUGCCAGCAGCCGCGGUAAUACGUAGGGGGCAAGCGUUAUCCGGAUUUACUGGGUGUAAAGGGCGCGUAGGCGGUAGUGCAAGUCAGAAGUGAAAGUCCAGGGCUCAACCCUCGAACUGCGUUGGAAACUGUUCUACUGGAGUGAAGGAGAGGCAGGCGGAAUGCCGAGUGUAGCGGUGAAAUGCGUAGAUAUACGGAGGAACACCAGUGGCGAAGGCGGCCUGCUGGACAUUAACUGACGCUGAGGCGCGAAAGCGUGGGGAGCAAACAGGAUUAGAUACCCGUGUAGUC
rnacentral:rRNA from 1 species